GGUGAGGUGGCCGAGAGGGUGAAGGCGCUCCCCUGCUAAGGGAGUAUGCGGUCAAAAGCUGCAUCCGGGGUUCGAAUCCCCGCCUCACCGCCA
rnacentral:tRNA from 1 species